GUAUUUAGGGAUACUCCAACAUGGAUUCUAAGUGGGUUCUAUCCCUACUUCAUAUGGGCUGAGUGUAUUUGAUGAUCUUGGUGCACAAUUGGGAGAUUGGUGUUGCUUGAGGAGCUUUGGUGAGGCUUGGGGCUAAGGUUGGUGGAGACUUCUAAAGAAGAGACUCAAUUGAUUUGGCUACAAGAGAUACAGGUUCAGGUGCUCAGAAGUGAGCUGCGGUUCGUCUGAGAGACGGCGAAGAUAUUUAUUUUCUCUAUUUUAUGUUUUGCUUAGAAUCUCUCCACCUUUGUUUUG